GAGUCUGUGAGUCUUGCUCCUAUGACUGAGAGGUGGUGGGGCCUUUUACAUGUCUGUGCCCAGGGGCACAUUGUCUCCUAAUCUGCCUAUGAUUGCUGGAACAUCACUCUUUGG